UCCAGGGUAGCCUAGUGGGCAUGGCAUCUACCCGGAACACUGUGGGUUCGAUUCCCAUCCCUGAAC